AUUUGCCCGCGGCUCUGUGGGCUGAAGAUAAUCUCCUGCUGAGAGUUUUAGAGCUAAACGCCGCUGUGAGUGAAGUUUCAGAGCCGAGCUUCAGUAAACAGAGCCGACACGCAGCAUGUCCAACAUGCUAAACCCACGCUAGCGCUGCUUUAAUGCGGCUCGCUCGGCCUCCUGUCCGCCCGAGAUAAUAAGAGUCCCUCAUCUGAUUAACCCCGUGGAACACAUCGCUCAGAGACCUGCUGAAGGUGAGGAGAAGGUGAGGCGGAGAGCUCCACUCUCACAGCCUCCAGCAGCUCCAUGUCCACUCCUGCUCAGCUCUACAUCCUCAUCAUUACCGUCAACCCACUAACGUCCAGUGGAAGGAUUAAUGUCCAUUUCUCUGACCGCAAACCUGAAGAAAGGCUCGGACAGAGUCUGAACUCCAGACAAUCGUCGCUUCUACUCACAAACAUGAACGUGGGUCAAAAGUUCAGAAUCUGGAUUUUCCAGUUUCUCUGCUCGUCUCUGUAACUACGAGUCAGAAAUAACUGACCAGACUGUGAGACGGGGUGUUAAUGAUUAAAGGUGUGAACCUCAGAGGAUCAUUGAGUCAGCAGUGAGGAAAGUGCAGGAUGGGAAACGGGCAUGUUGUGUUUCUGAGGAGAUCCAGAGCCGGCUUUGCUUUAAUGGAGGGGUCAGUUACAUCAGCGGAUCAGACUGUGUUUCUGCAGGAGCUAAAGGGCUUUAUCUCUUUAUCUGAGCUCACACACACUUAACCACCGACCACAAAGCCGGAGAGAGUCGGCCAGGAGAACCAGCACCAGAAACGCUGAGUCAGCCCACCUUCAGCACUUUAUACCACCGCAAUAACUUCUAAUACUGUAAUCACUGUGUUAAAGGAAGAAUCCAGUGACCUUCUGACCCAAACGCCCAGAGGACGAGGAGCGAGCUCCAGCACAAAUGGGUCUGGCUUGUAAUUUCACACAACCAGCGAGGAGAACAGCCGGAGAUAGAGUGAAUGUUACUAUGGCAACAGCAUCUUAAACUGUGGAACGAGGAGGAACCCCAUCCCCAAGCUUAUCAGUCAAUCAAUCAAUCAAUCUUUAUUAAAACUCAUCGAACAUUGAGACCCUCAUUUACAGUGUAGGCAUUAACAGAAUAAAACCUAAUCAAUGAUACCUCUCUGGAUCCACACUUUAAAGUGGUUCUUCAAGGGUUCUUUAGUAAAGGCAAUGGUUCUAUGUAGAACCAUGAACACUCAAAGAAUCAUUUGCAUGCUUGAAUGGUUCUCUGCAUGGCGAAACGGAUCUUCAGAUUGAUUCAGAACGUGAUGUGCACUGUUCUACAUAAUCCGUGCUAUUGUAACAAUAUUAGAACCCUUUUGGUGUUGCAUAGAACCACUUUCAAAAAGGUGCUAUAUAUGACCAUAAACACAUUCUCCAUUAGUCUGAAGAACAAUUUCAAAUGAAAAUGGUUCUUCGAGUGUUCAUGACUUCGAGUGUUCAUGACAGAACCUGUCUGUCUGACUGUCUAUCUGUCUGUCUGUCUGUCUAUCUGUCUGUCUGUCUGUCUGUCUAUCUAAAGAACCCUAAACAACCCUCUUUUUUCAUGUGGACAGUGUUUCUCCAGACUGUCCUGGCCCCUGUUUGGGUCUUCGGGCUUCUGGAUGGUUCAUGAUUCCUCUGAACGUCUCCAUCCAUCGUCGUCCUCUUUGAUGUUUCAACUAUCCUGAACAUACUGGUCUUUAUGAAGUGGUUCUUCUGAGAAUGUGUCCAGAAUAAGAUCUUCCGUUUGGUUCUCUGGCUUCCAGUCAGAGACGAGGCUUCAUUUGGUCCAUUAGUUUCUUUUCCAUCCAAGAAACUCUCAGAGGUCCUCAUCAGCACCAAAGUUCAAAGGCAUCUAUAUUCCCCCUGUCUCGCUUGUUUAUUGUCCAGCUUUCUCAUCCACAUAGAAGACCACAGCCUGGCCAGUCCUGAUCUUUGUCUGCAGAUCUCUGUCUGUUACACAUCAUUACAUCUGAAGAUGUUUCCAAGCUCCUUUAUCCUCGUUAUGCUGAGUUGAAUAACCACUCAUCCUGUGCAUCUGAUGCUGAUCUUCUUCUGCCUUGAUUGGGUGUCCACUGCUUGCCAGCCUUCUGGACCAGACUGACCAUCAUGGAGCUUCAUGCUGGACAAUGCUGUGCAAACCUCACCCUCAUGAACUGACCAUCCUGCUACUGUAUAAACUCAAACUAUUUAAUCAGAGCUAUUACUUCACCUGCUUGUCCCUUUUCUCUAUUUUAACAUCUUAUAUUAACUUUAAAACCUCUCUCUGAUCAUUUCGCUCGUGUUUCUGUGUGCAACCAGAGGAGGAUGGGCUCCCCUUCUGAAUCUCAGUUCCUCUCAGUGUUUCUUUCUCUUGCUCUUAGGGAGUUUUUCCUGCCUCUGUCUCCGUUGGUGACACUCAGGACUCAUUACCUGCUGUAAAAAGAGCUGUGUAAAUAAACUUGGACUUGGUCUGUGUCAUA